rnacentral:rRNA from 1 species
CUACGGGGGGCUGCAGUGAGGAAUAUUGCACAAUGGGGGAAACCCUGAUGCAGCAACGCCGCGUGGAGGAUGACGCAUUUCGGUGUGUAAACUCCUUUUAUGAGUCAAGAAAAUGACGGUAGCUCAUGAAUAAGCACCGGCUAACUCCGUGCCAGCAGCCGCGGUAAUACGGAGGGUGCAAGCGUUACUCGGAAUCACUGGGCGUAAAGGACGCGUAGGCGGGUUGUCAAGUCAGGUGUGAAAUCCUACAGCUUAACUGUAGAACUGCACUUGAAACUGGCAACCUAGAGUAUGGGAGGGGGAGAUGGAAUUAGUGGUGUAGGGGUAAAAUCCGUAGAUAUCACUAGGAAUACCGAAAGCGAAGGCGAUCUCCUGGAACAUUACUGACGCUAAGGCGUGAAAGCGUGGGGAGCAAACAGGAUUAGAUACCCGUGUAGUC